AUUGAACGCUGGCGGCAGGCCUAACACAUGCAAGUCGAACGGCAGCACAGAAGAGCUUGCUCUUUGGGUGGCGAGUGGCGGACGGGUGAGUAAUGUCUGGGAAACUGCCCGAUGGAGGGGGAUAACUACUGGAAACGGUAGCUAAUACCGCAUAACGUCGCAAGACCAAAGUGGGGGACCUUCGGGCCUCACACCAUCGGAUGUGCCCAGAUGGGAUUAGCUAGUAGGUGGGGUAAUGGCUCACCUAGGCGACGAUCCCUAGCUGGUCUGAGAGGAUGACCAGCCACACUGGAGCUGAGACACGGUCCAGACUCCUACGGGAGGCAGCAGUGGGGAAUAUUGCACAAUGGGCGCAAGCCUGAUGCAGCCAUGCCGCGUGUAUGAAGAAGGCCUUCGGGUUGUAAAGUACUUUCAGCGGGGAGGAAGGCGGUGAGGUUAAUAACCUUGCCGAUUGACGUUACCCGCGGAAGAAGCACCGGCUAACUCCGUGCCAGCCGCCGCGGUAA
rnacentral:rRNA from 1 species